AUGCUGUCACUGCAGCACUCUGUGUUUUCUCUACUGGUUCUAUCCAUUCUAACAGGUGUCAGCUGUCAAGAACUCACUCCAGUAAAGACAGACGAGUCCAGUUUAGAAGGCAGCACUGUUACUCUGUCCUACAGAUACUCCAAAAUGUCACCUGGUGAUUAUUUCUUCUGGUAUCGACAAUAUCCAGGAAAACCACCAGAGUUCAUCAUCUCACACUCUGCAUCAGGAAUUGUUGGAAAUCAGCCAAUCUCUGGACUGACGAUUAAAGUGGAGGACAAACAAAUCAACAUGAACAUCUCCUCUGCUGCAGUGACAGACUCUGCUGUGUACUACUGUGCUGUGGUGAGUGAUGGAACAGAGAUCAAAGUCUCAUUAACCAGCUGUAUGAACCAGAUAUUUCAUAUUUACAUGUUUAUCUGUGUAUGCGUGAGGAAGGAUAAAACCCAUCUGGAUCUGCAGAUCUCCUCUGCUGCAGUGACAGACUCUGCUGUGUACUACUGUGCUGUG